GUCUAUGGCCAUAUCACCCUGAACAUGCCGGAUCUCUUCUGAUCUCGGAAGCUAAGCAGGGUCGGGCUAGGUUAAUAAUUGGAUGGGAGAAUAUUUAAGUAUUAUGAAUC
ensembl:rRNA 5S_rRNA 5S ribosomal RNA